CCUACGGGGGGCAGCAGUGAGGAAUAUUGGUCAAUGGACGAGAGUCUGAACCAGCCAAGUCGCGUGAAGGAUGACUGUCCUAUGGGUUGUAAACUUCUUUUAUAUGGGAAUAAAAUGUUCCACGUGUGGGAUUUUGUAUGUACCAUAUGAAUAAGGAUCGGCUAACUCCGUGCCAGCAGCCGCGGUAAUACGGAGGAUCCGAGCGUUAUCCGGAUUUAUUGGGUUUAAAGGGAGCGUAGGUGGAUUGUUAAGUCAGUUGUGAAAGUUUGCGGCUCAACCGUAAAAGUGCAGUUGAAACUGGCAGUCUGGAGUACAGUAGAGGUGGGCGGAAUGCGUGGUGUAGCGGUGAAAUGCUUAGAUAUCACGAAGAACUCCGAUUGCGAAGGCAGCUCACUGGACUGCAACUGACACUGAGGCACGAAAGUGUGGGUAUCAAACAGGAUUAGAUACCCGAGUAGUC
rnacentral:rRNA from 1 species